AGCAGUUCUCUUGCCUCAGCCUCCCAAGUAACUGGUACUACAGUUUGUCCUCGGCUGUUACAGAGAAUUGAUACAAAAAAUGAUCAUGUGAAGAAUUUGCAUCUUCUGCAGAACUACCGGUAUCAGUCAGCAGUAGGAGAUUGUAUAAAUUCAGCCUGAGAUUCCAGAAUAUUCUGUGUAUUGACCACCACAGCAAGAAGAAAAAGUCCAUGUAGGACUGAAAUCAUAUGCUGAGCCCUUUCCCAGUGUUGGGAGCAUAUCAAGAUAUUGACACAGUUCCUGUCCUUAAGCCCUGCAGGAUUUAGGGAGUUGGUUCUGACUAACCAUUACAUCCCAAUAUUAGGUUGGCAGCAGUGGAAGUCAUACAUUGAUGCAAAAGGGGUUCCCAAGUCUCCUCUCUGCUCACCUAUGAUCUAAUCUCUUCUCGGGGGCAUCCAAAUCAGUAAAGAGGAAGUCAAACUGUCGCUGUUUGCUGAUAAUAUAAUCGUAUAUA
rnacentral:lncRNA from 1 species